GCUUAUCAACAUUCCAGAUUGAAUAUACCCGAUCUCGUCUGAUCUCGGAAGUCAAGCAAUCUCGGGCUUGGUUAGUGGG
rnacentral:rRNA from 1 species